UUUUUUCUUUCUCUCUCAUUUGGGGUGCUAGUGACCUGGGCUCUGGCCCACACACUUUCUGUAAGAAAGAACCCUGGAUGUCACGACUAAGGAAGAGAUCUCGUGUUUAUUCUUCAGUAAGUCACUCGGAUUACUCCUUUUCCUGGAAGCUGUGUCAUAAAUUUCACUCUGCAGUCCGGACAUCCCCAGGAGGCUGCUGGCAGCCUCACAGACUCUCAGCAUAUCAGUGGAAAAGUUCUUCCACUACCCACCUCUCAAACUUAGAAAAAGACUCCUGCUGGUUCUGUUUUUGUCGCAUGCGUGUCCCUGGAAGAGUCAGCGUGGACAGCAAAUGGUGAUACAGUGAUGUGAGCCCAUGAACGGGGGAGCGAGUCCUGCAGACGAUGGACAGAAUGAGGGGAAGCAUUGCCAAGUCCAGGUGGAGUCAGCUGGGCAGGCCUAAACCAACAACAUCCACUGCAGUACCUGAUAAAUAUUUGUUGAGUUAAACAAGCAAAAAUGCAGCUAUAAUCUCUACAUAAGACAGGGAAAUUUAGUCUUUUUGAUAUAUAAAACUUCGUGAUAAGUAUUCAUCUGGCGAGUAUUUCCCCAAACAAAUAAGAACACGACUGUGACGUUUGGGGCAUUGAAAAGUUGGUUGCGAUUUUAGGUAUGUUUAGAUGAACAGUACAUGCUGCUUGGCAUAAAUGUUCACCAUUGACUUAAUCAAUAGUUUUGUUUGCCUCUUUUGAAUUAUAUGAGCUAUUUUGGAUAUUAGAGAUGGUACAAGACUGUUGCUCACCAAAUCGGUGUAAAUGGAUGCAAAUGUUUCCCUGUGAUAAAUUUCCAUGUAGGGAGCUGUGGUUCUUGGAGUGCUACCAAGGAUCUUAUCCUACACAUAGGGUCAGAGAAGUAGAUGCUAAAUAAAU